rnacentral:lncRNA from 1 species
GUGCGGCUCAUUGAGCACCCAGCAGGAAGAGGCUGAUAUGAAGAUCCUUUCCAGUAAGAUUAUUGCUGACCCCAGGUGUGACUUGCAUGGGAAAUCCUGUUUCACCCUGGGGAUGCAAGCAGACAGUUUGUCAUUGCCAGGGAGAAAACGUGGCUGCGGAUGAACCACCAGGAGGACAGAUGGACACGUGCAGCCAGGUGACUGCGUCGGAUGGGCAUUUUGCAACUGUAUUGCUAGCCUUGUCCUCUGCAGAGAAAUGUGGGGUCUCAGGUGCUCCCAUCUUUGUUGCAGUGCUACCAUACACCAUGCUACUGAAACAGAAUAGUUGCCCCGCUCUUUCCCAU